rnacentral:rRNA from 1 species
UGCAACCUACCUUAAUCAGGGGGAUAGCCUCUCGAAAGAGAGAUUAACACCGCAUAACAUCAUUUUACGGCAUCGUAGAAUGAUCAAAUAUUUAUAGGAUUAAGAUGGGCAUGCGUGACAUUAGCUAGUUGGUGAGGUAAUGGCUCACCAAGGCUACGAUGUCUAGGGGAUCUGAGAGGAUGACCCCCCACACUGGUACUGAGACACGGACCAGACUCCUACGGGAGGCAGCAGUAAGGAAUAUUGGUCAAUGGAGGCAACUCUGAACCAGCCAUGCCGCGUGCAGGAAGACGGCCCUAUGGGUUGUAAACUGCUUUUAUACGGGAAUAAACCUCUCUACGUGUAGGGAGUUGAAUGUACUGUAAGGAUAAGGAUCGGCUAACUCCGUGCCAGCAGCCGCGGUAAUACGGAGGAUCCAAGCGUUAUCCGGAUUUAUUGGGUUUAAAGGGUGCGUAGGCGGCCUAUUAAGUCAGGGGUGAAAGACGGUGGCUCAACCAUCGCAGUGCCCUUGAUACUGAUGGGCUUGAUUACACUUGAGGUAGGCGGAAUGUGACAAGUAGCGGUGAAAUGCAUAGAUAUGUCACAGAACACCAAUUGCGAAGGCAGCUUACUAAGGUGUCAAUGACGCUGAGGCACGAAAGCGUGGGGAUCAAACAGGAUUAGAUACCCUGGUAGUCCACGCCCUAAACGAUGAAUACUCGAUGUUAGCGAUAUACAGUUAGCGUCAAAGCGAAAGCGUUAAGUAUUCCACCUGGGGAGUACGCCCGCAAGGGUGAAACUCAAAGGAAUUGACGGGGACC